rnacentral:rRNA from 1 species
UACGUAGGGGGCAAGCGUUGUCCGGAAUCAUUGGGCGUAAAGCGCACGUAGGCGGCCCGGUAAGUCCGUUGUGAAAGUCCGAGGCUCAACCUCUGGAGGCCAAUGGAUACUGCCGGGCUAGAGUCCGGAAGAGGCGAGUGGAAUUCCUGGUGUAGCGGUGGAAUGCGCAGAUAUCAGGAGGAACACCAAUGGCGAAGGCAGCUCGCUGGGACGGUACUGACGCUGAGGUGCGAAAGCGUGGGGAGCGAACAGG